rnacentral:lncRNA from 1 species
CUUAACCCUAUCAGCUUAGUGCGAGCUAUACUAUCUAUAUAUCAGCUUAGAGUGAGCAGUCCUGGACUAUGGUCGGACUUAUAGAUAGUAUUGAAUGUGUCGACCAAGCAUGGGUCGUGAUGACAUGUAAUCGACUAGGUCGAUUGAUCAUUGCUUGAUCUGAUGUUGUGAAUGGACCGAUUGAUUGGAAAUGACCAUGAGAUGGUCU